rnacentral:rRNA from 1 species
UACGUAUGGUGCAAGCGUUAUCCGGAUUUACUGGGCGUAAAGGGAGCGCAGGCGGCGCGCCAAGUCUGAUGUGAAACCCCGGGGCUCAACCCCGGGCAUGCAUUGGAAACUGGCGGGCUGGAGUGCCGGAGAGGAGAGUGGAAUUCCAUGUGUAGCGGUGAAAUGCGUAGAUAUAUGGAGGAACACCGGUGGCGAAAGCGGCUCUCUGGCCUGUAACUGACACUGAGGCUCGAAAGCGUGGGGAGCAAACAGG